GGGUAUGUUGCUAGUUAUCCGUAAGAGGGGAAAAGGAAGAGAAGGGAAAAAAGCGUGGGCUGGGGGAAGGAGAGGGGGGGGGGGCCCGAUUAGCUCAGUAACACGUGGAUAAUCUGCCUUUAUGGUGGAGGAUAACCCCGGGAAACUGGGGAUAAUACUCCAUAAGUCAGGAGUACUGGAAUGUCUCCUAACUGAAAGUUGCGGCGCCAUAGGAUGAAUCUGCGGCCGAUUAGGUAGUUGUUGGGGUAACGGCCCAACAAGCCCGUAAUCGGUACGGGUUGUGGGAGCAAGAGCCCGGAGAUGGAAUCUUCACCAUUUUUUCCAGGCCCUACGGGGCGCAGCAGGCGCGAAAACUUUACAAUGCAGGAAACUGUGAUAAGGGAACCCCGAGUGCCCGUAAACGCGGGCUGUCCCGGUGUUUAAAACACAUCGGAAAGAAAGGGCCGGGCAAGACCGGUGCCAGCCGCCGCGGUAAUACCGGGCGGCUCGAGUGGUGACCACUUUUAUUGGGCUUAAAGCGUUCGUAGCUUGAUUUUUAAGUCUCUUGGAAAUCUCACGGCUUAACUGUGAGGCGUCUAAGAGAUACUGGGAAGCUAGGGACCGGGGAAAGUAGUGUAACUCAGGGUAGAUGUGAAUCUGUAUCUUGAUACACGAUGGCAGCAUCUACAAACGCUUCCAUGAGAACAAACUGGGGGAGAAAGGAAUAUACCCGGAUUCCAGCCGCCAUUCCGGUGUGGUUCAACAUAUCUGCAAACUUAGACUCGAGUACGA
rnacentral:rRNA from 1 species